GUAUUGACCUUCACCAUGGCAUGGUUGUUUGUGCCAGAUGGGCUGGUUUGAGUAUGCUGGACUGCACAUCACCUAGGAUUUUCACACACAACUGUCUCUUGAGUUUACACAGAAUGGUGUGAAAAAACAAAAAACAUCCAGUGAACAGCGGAUCUGUGGGUGGAAAUGCCUUGUUGAUGAGAGUGGAGAGGUCAGAGGAGAAUGGCAAGACUGGUUCAAGCACUGAAACUCUGCUGUGUGUUGUUUGAAGUUCAGGCUUUAUUCAGCAAGCUUGCGGUGAGCCUCCUGGCUUUUGCUUUCUCUUCUGCCAUGGCCUGGAGUCAAUCCCCAUUUUGACUGUACUGCUGCCUCUAAAAAUGGAUGGAGUUAGAACCAGAAUCUACAAAGUUUCCAGAUGACGCCAACACCUGAAAAGACUUCGGAUGAUACCAACGCUCUGCACGUGUUGUUCCUGGGAUAGCAGUGGGCCUGAACCAUUCUGCUCUGUACCGUCCUGGUGCCCUGCUUCUGGAGUUGUCGUCACUUGGAGGCCAGUCGCUGUUGCUGAGGAUUGCACAAUAUGGAGCCUAGAGACACAUGGAAGCCGUGGAGAUGGCCUGCAAGUGAUGCGGGCAGUUUUGGUGCGGUGUCUUUUUUCGCCCAGGUCUCCAUCAGUGGACAGUGCAUAAUUUCAGCAGAAGAGACUUCAUGUUGAGACUGUAGUGAAUCUCCUGAUUACACAGCUGCACUUUUGUUUGAUCAUGUAGUGCACAGUUAUAAAAGGGAUUUAUUAAUAAUUACACUAUCCAUUGUUACCCAGAUGAAGAUGGGUUCCCUUAUGUGACCGGUUCCUCUCAAAGUUUCUUCCUCAUAUCAUCUCAGGGAAUUUUUCCUUGCCACCAUUACCGUCAUUACCGUGGCUUGCACAUUGGGCACAAAUUUAUCAAUUUAAAAUUUAGAUUGGAACUUUAUUAGAGAUGCACUGAUACUAAAUUUCUCAGCCGAUACCGAUAACCGAUUAUUCAGAGUGAUAUCAGCCGAUACUGAUACCAAUAGUUCUGCCUUUUAUGCCUUCUUCUAAAUUAAUAAUAAUUAAUUCCACAAUUCUGAAAAAAGCUAAUAAAAAUGUUAUUCUCUCCAUUUCAAUAAGUUUUUUCAUAGUAACUGGUCUCAUAAACAGA
ensembl:lncRNA